rnacentral:misc_RNA from 1 species
UUUCCGUAGGUGAACCUGCGGAAGGAUCAUUACAAAUCCAUCCACGUCUCAUUCCUUGAGACCACGUUGAAAUGUUCCCUAGAGUGUAUGUAUGUAUGUAUGUAUGUAUGUAUGUAUGUAUGUGUUGUGGUCUCCUCGACCUUCAGCCGCUUCAUCGGCCGUCCGUCCUGUGGUGGCACACAAUGCAAUACAAUACAAUACAAUACAAUACAAUACAAUACACACUAGGCUUGUAAACUAGUAUCAUCUGUUGCUCAAUUGUAUCUUGCUUGAUUGUAAUGAUCAAGGUAAACAAAGUACAACUUAUAACAAUGGAUCUCUAGGCUCUU